AAGUCGUAACAAGGUUUCCGUAGGUGAACCUGCGGAAGGAUCAUUAUUGAAAUAAACCUGAUGAGUUGUUGCUGGCUCUCUAGGGAGCAUGUGCACACUUGUCAUCUUUAUAUUUCCACCUGUGCACAAUCUGUAGACCUGGAUAUCUUUUCUGAAUGCUAUAGUUAGCACUCAGGUUUUGAGGAUUGAUAAUCUCUCCUUACAUUUCCGGGCCUAUGUUUCUUCAUAUACCCAAUGUAUGUUAUAGAAUGUAAUUAAUGGGCCUUUGUGCCUAUAAAAUUUAUACAACUUUCAGCAACGGAUCUCUUGGCUCUC
rnacentral:misc_RNA from 1 species